rnacentral:rRNA from 1 species
ACGUCAAGUCCUCAUGGCCCUUACGUGUUGGGCUACACACGUGCUACAAUGGCAUCUACAACAGGAAGCAAAACGGCAACGUUAAGCAAAUCCCGAAAAGAUGCCUCAGUUCGGAUUGCACUCUGCAACUCGAGUGCAUGAAGCUGGAAUUACUAGUAAUCGUGGAUCAGCGUGCCACGGUGAAUGCGUUCCCGGGUCUU